UCUAGGUUUAAGCGAAAAUAAAAUGCGCUUUUCGAAUUUUGUGAGUAUUUUACGACCAGUCCUUCAAAAACUGAUUUUUGAGUCGUGUCAAAUAGAGGGCGUGUUGAUUGUGUCCGUUAUGGGCUUACUUGUGGCGGUUUGUUGUUAAAAAUUAAGUUGUCUUUUUUUCGAAAAUUACCAGUCAAUUCAUAGGUAAAUUCGAGUGAUUUCGUCUGUAACUUGUCGGUGAUGUGUUCUAUUACGUGUAAAUGUUGAUAACCUGAAUGUUUUUCAUCAACUUACGGGAGAAAACGUGAAAGAGUCGUGUGCCCGUCGUGCAGUCUACUGUCAACCAUUUUGUUCAAAAUCAUUGUAUUCUACCAAAUAUACCAUCAAAAUUAUAUAAGAUUCAUCAUAAUUACCUGCUGUUUGUAUUGGAGUAAUUGGAUUCACUAGAUCACCAACCCCAGCAUGGAAAAAUCUCUCAUUCCAUCUUCUAGAGAACCUUGGAUAACUGAUUUGUGGUUCCAUGUAUCAUAGACGUCAAGCAUUGAUGACACAAAUUAAUCAUUUGUAAUCAUAAACAAGAUGAAUUUAUUUGUUUAAAUAUUUGCUGAUUCUAUACUAAAGUUUUCUAAAGAGAAGUCAUGUCCUUUGAAGAAAAAGAACAAGGUACAAAGUCAACAAGAUCCCUUGUUUGGUAACCUGUUGGCUGCUACCCUUGAAUCUCCCUUUUUACUUCCUUACUUGACCCUCUUGAUUUGAGGGUAAUUCAUCGCUGCUUGUCAUGGACAUGGACAUCAUCCACUGGUGAUGAAAAUUAACAAGAGAAUGCUGUAAUUCAAGAUUGAUAUAUUGUAUAAUUGUUUGAUAAAUUACUAUGAAUAUCUGGACUCCCUUCUUUUCUGUAAUUUUGUGCAAUAUAAAACUCGUAAUAAAUUUUUCCAUUUACGGUUUUA